UGGGGAAUUGUUCACAAUGGGCGCAAGCCUGAUGACGCAACGCCGCGUGAAGGAUGAAGUAUUUCGGUAUGUAAACUUCGAAAGAAUAGGAAGAAUAAAUGACGGUACUAUUUAUAAGGUCCGGCUAACUACGUGCCAGCAGCCGCGGUAAUACGUAGGGACCAAGCGUUGUUCGGAUUUACUGGGCGUAAAGGGCGCGUAGGCGGCAAUUCAAGUCAUCUGUGAAAUCUCCGGGCUUAACUCGGAACGGUCAGAUGAUACUGCUUUGCUAGAGUGCAGAAGGGGCAAUCGGAAUUCUUGGUGUAGCGGUGAAAUGCGUAGAUAUCAAGAGGAACACCUGAGGUGAAGACGGGUUGCUGGGCUGACACUGACGCUGAGGCGCGAAAGCCAGGGGAGCAAACGGGAUUAGAUACCCAAGUAGUCCCUGAGCGGGCUGGCAAGGCGCAU
rnacentral:rRNA from 1 species